CUUCCAGUAGCACCUUAGAAACCAACUAAGUUUGUUAUUGGUAUGAGCUUUCGUGUGCAUGCACACUUCUUCAGAUAACAAACUUAGUUGGUCUCUAAGGUGCUACUGGAAG